rnacentral:rRNA from 1 species
GAUGAACGCUGGCGGUCUGCUUAACACAUGCAAGUCGAACGGAAGUAGCAAUACUUUAGUGGCGGACGGGUGAGUAACACGUAAGAAUCUGCCUCCAGGACGGGAAAAACAGUUGGAAACGACUGCUAAUUCCGGAUGAGCCGAAAGGUAAAAAGAAAUUCGCCUGGAGAUGAGCUUGCGGCUGAUUAGCUAGUUGGUAGGGUAAGAGCCUACCAAGGCGACCAUCAGUAGCUGGUCUGAGAGGAUGAGCAGCCACACUGGGACUGGGAACACGGCCCAGACUCCUACGGGAGGCAGCAGUGGGGAAUUUUCCGCAAUGGGCGAAAGCCUGACGGAGCAAGACCGCGUGGGGGAGGAAGGUUCUUGGAUUGCCAACCCCUUUUCUCAGGGAAGAAGAUCUGACGGUACCUGAGGAAUCAGCAUCGGCUAACUCCGUGCCAGCAGCCGCAGUAAGAC